rnacentral:rRNA from 1 species
UACGAAGGGGGCUAGCGUUGCUCGGAAUCGCUGGGCGUAAAGGGUGCGUAGGCGGGUUCUUAAGUCAGAGGUGAAAUCCUGGAGCUCAACUCCAGAACUGCCUUUGAUACUGAGAGUCUUGAGUACGGGAGAGGUGAGUGGAACUGCGAGUGUAGAGGUGAAAUUCGUAGAUAUUCGCAAGAACACCAGUGGCGAAGGCGGCUCACUGGCCCGUUACUGACGCUGAGGCACGAAAGCGUGGGGAGCAAACAGG